rnacentral:rRNA from 1 species
GAUGCCCGCUGGCGGCAGGCCUAACACAUGCAAGUCGAGCGGUAACAGAAAGUAGCUUGCUACUUUGCUGACGAGCGGCGGACGGGUGAGUAAUGCCUGGGAAUUUGCCCAUUCGAGGGGGAUAACAGUUGGAAACGACUGCUAAUACCGCAUACGCCCUACGGGGGAAAGGAGGGGACCUUCGGGCCUUCCGCGAAUGGAUAAGCCCAGGUGGGAUUAGCUAGUAGGUGAGGUAAUGGCUCACCUAGGCGACGAUCCCUAGCUGUUCUGAGAGGAUGAUCAGCCACACUGGGACUGAGACACGGCCCAGACUCCUACGGGAGGCAGCAGUGGGGAAUAUUGCACAAUGGGCGAAAGCCUGAUGCAGCCAUGCCGCGUGUGUGAAGAAGGCCUUCGGGUUGUAAAGCACUUUCAGCGAGGAGGAAAGGUUACUGGCUAAUAUCCAGUAGCUGUGACGUUACUCGCAGAAGAAGCACCGGCUAACUCCGUGCCAGCAGCCGCGGUAAUACGGAGGGUGCGAGCGUUAAUCGGAAUUACUGGGCGUAAAGCGUGCGCAGGCGGUUUGUUAAGCGAGAUGUGAAAGCCCCGGGCUCAACCUGGGAACUGCAUUUUGAACUGGCAAACUAGAGUCUUGUAGAGGGGGGUAGAAUUCCAGGUGUAGCGGUGAAAUGCGUAGAGAUCUGGAGGAAUACCCGGUGGCGAAGGCGGCCCCCUGGACAAAGACUGACGCUUAUGCACGAAAGCGUGGGGAGCAAACAGGAUUAAAUACCCCUGGUAGUCCACCCCGUAAACGAUGUCUACUCGGAGUUUGGGGCUUUGAA